CAGUUACAGAUUGAACUCCUGUU
rnacentral:piRNA from 1 species